AGUGAACGCUGGCGGUAGGCCUAACACAUGCAAGUCGAACGGCAGCACAGUAAGAGCUUGCUCUUACGGGUGGCGAGUGGCGGACGGGUGAGGAAUACAUCGGAAUCUACUUUUUCGUGGGGGAUAACGUAGGGAAAUUUACGCUAAUACCGCAUACGACCUACGGGUGAAAGCAGGGGAUCUUCGGACCUUGCGCGAUUGAAUGAGCCGAUGUCGGAUUAGCUAGUUGGCGGGGUAAAGGCCCACCAAGGCGACGAUCCGUAGCUGGUCUGAGAGGAUGAUCAGCCACACUGGAACUGAGACACGGUCCAGACUCCUACGGGAGGCAGCGGUGGGGAAUAUUGGACAAAGGGCGCAAGCCUGAUCCAGCCAUACCGCGUGGGUGAAGAAGGCCUUCGGGUUGUAAAGCCCUUUUGUUGGGAAAGAAAAGCAGCAGGUUAAUACCCCGCUGUUCUGACGGUACCCAAAGAAUAAGCACCGGCUAACUUCGUG
rnacentral:rRNA from 1 species